CCCAGGGUACUUCGGGCACUCAACCUGACGGCAGACACGAAGAAUGUUCAAUGGCCACUUGUUGGAUGCAAGCACAAUUUGCCAUGUGACGAAGGUUUAUAUACCUUAAUCAAGUGUAUUUAUGUGAAUGAUAAUACUGAAGUCCUAAAAACAACCGACCCUCCUCACACACACAGAUCGAAACUAAUUUUGUAUCAAAUUACUUGUCUAAGUGAGACAGAAAUUAGAAAAGGGAACAUAUUAAGAAGAGCUCAAUUUCCUCUGAAGUUGAAUAGAGCACUAAAAAUUAUUGAUAAAAAGAUAGAGGUAACAUUAGAUC
rnacentral:misc_RNA from 1 species